AUUGAACGCUGGCGGCAUGCCUUACACAUGCAAGUCGAACGGCAGCACGGGAGCAAUCCUGGUGGCGAGUGGCGAACGGGUGAGUAAUAUAUCGGAACGUGCCCAGUCGUGGGGGAUAACGUAGCGAAAGCUACGCUAAUACCGCAUACGAUCUAUGGAUGAAAGCGGGGGAUCGCAAGACCUCGCGCGAUUGGAGCGGCCGAUAUCAGAUUAGGUAGUUGGUGGGGUAAAAGCCUACCAAGCCUUCGAUCUGUAGCUGGUCUGAGAGGACGACCAGCCACACUGGAACUGAGACACGGUCCAGACUCCUACGGGAGGCAGCAGUGGGGAAUUUUGGACAAUGGGCGCAAGCCUGAUCCAGCCAUGCCGCGUGAGUGAAGAAGGCCUGGUUGUAAG
rnacentral:rRNA from 1 species